ACUGAACGCUGGCGGCAUGCCUUACACAUGCAAGUCGAACGGUAACAGGUUAAGCUGACGAGUGGCGAACGGGUGAGUAAUGUAUCGGAACGUGCACAGUCGUGGGGGAUAACUGCUCGAAAGAGCAGCUAAUACCGCAUACGACCUGAGGGUGAAAGCGGGGGAUCGCAAGACCUCGCGCGAUUGGAGCGGCCGAUAUCAGAUUAGGUAGUUGGUGAGGUAAAGGCUCACCAAGCCGACGAUCUGUAGCUGGUCUGAGAGGACGACCAGCCACCCCGGGACUGAGCCACGGCCCAGACUCCUACGGGAGGCAGCGGUGGGGAAUUUUGGCCAAUGGACGCAAGCCUGCUCCAGCCAUGCCGCGUGCGGGAAGAAGGCCUUCGGGUUGUAAACCGCUUUUGUCAGGGAAGAAAAGGUUCUGGCUAAUACCUGGGACUCAUGACGGUACCUGAAGAAUAAGCACCGGCUAACUACGUGCCAGCGGCCGCCGUAACAC
rnacentral:rRNA from 1 species